rnacentral:rRNA from 1 species
UACGUAGGGGGCAAGCGUUGUCCGGAAUCAUUGGGCGUAAAGAGCGUGUAGGCGGCUCGAUAAGUCUGCUGUGAAAGUCCAGGGCUCAACCCUGGAAGGCCGGUGGAAACUGUCGGGCUAGAGUCCGGAAGAGGCGAGUGGAAUUCCUGGUGUAGCGGUGAAAUGCGCAGAUAUCAGGAAGAACACCAAUGGCGAAAGCAGCUCUCUGGGACGGUACUGACGCUGAGACGCGAAAGCGUGGGGAGCGAACAGG